UACAGGCAGAUGUCCACAGUCUGCAAUAUUAUUGUUGUAUACAUAUUUAGAAAAUAAUUUUAAAGUCUUCAUAUAUUAGAUUGUUUUACAAAGAAAAUCAGUGAUCAAUCGACCUAAGGGUCUAAUAUUCAUUGACGGUAUAAGUAUAAAAAUAAUUUUGUUUUUCAAAGUGAAAUAUACAAAAAUUAAAAAGUUUUUCAAUAUUAAUAAAUUACAGAGUUCUAAACUUGGUGAAAUUUACAUUUUAACAAAAAGGGAACUCAUCCCAAAAGUAAACCGAAGACAAAUCAUCAAAUUGAAAUUGUUAUAAUAUUAUGAAUAAAAAGGGACUUGAAAUGAAAACUUAAUCAAGUAGAAAAACACAAAAAUUAUAUUUUGCAAUUUGUAGGAGA